AGAGUUUGAUCCUGGCUCAGGAUGAACGCUAGCGACAGGCUUAACACAUGCAAGUCGAGGGGCAGCACAGGUAGCAAUACCGGGUGGCGACCGGCGCACGGGUGAGUAACGCGUAUGCAACUUACCUAUCAGAGGGGGAUAGCCCGGCGAAAGUCGGAUUAAUACCCCAUAAAACAGGGGUCCCGCAUGGGAAUAUUUGUUAAAGAUUCAUCGCUGAUAGAUAGGCAUGCGUUCCAUUAGGCAGUUGGCGGGGUAACGGCCCACCAAACCGACGAUGGAUAGGGGUUCUGAGAGGAAGGUCCCCCACAUUGGUACUGAGACACGGACCAAACUCCUACGGGAGGCAGCAGUGAGGAAUAUUGGUCAAUGGCCGAGAGGCUGAACCAGCCAAGUCGCGUGAAGGAAGAAGGAUCUAUGGUUUGUAAACUUCUUUUAUAGGGGAAUAAAGUGGAGGACGUGUCCUUUUUUGUAUGUACCCUAUGAAUAAGCAUCGGCUAACUCCGUGCCAGCAGCCGCGGUAAUACGGAGGAUGCGAGCGUUAUCCGGAUUUAUUGGGUUUAAAGGGUGCGUAGGUGGUGAUUUAAGUCAGCGGUGAAAGUUUGUGGCUCAACCAUAAAAUUGCCGUUGAAACUGGGUUACUUGAGUGUGUUUGAGGUAGGCGGAAUGCGUGGUGUAGCGGUGAAAUGCAUAGAUAUCACGCAGAACUCCGAUUGCGAAGGCAGCUUACUAAACCAUAACUGACACUGAAGCACGAAAGCGUGGGGAUCAAACAGGAUUAGAUACCCUGGUAGUCCACGCAGUAAACGAUGAUCACUAGCUGUUUGCGAUACAGUGUAAGCGGCACAGCGAAAGCGUUAAGUGAUCCACCUGGGGAGUACGCCGGCAACGGUGAAACUCAAAGGAAUUGACGGGGGCCCGCACAAGCGGAGGAACAUGUGGUUUAA
rnacentral:rRNA from 1 species